rnacentral:rRNA from 1 species
CAAUAGCGUAUAUUAAUGUUGUUGCAGUUAAAAAGCUCGUAGUUGGAUUUCUGGUGGGAGUGGCCGGUCCGCCCUCUGGGUGAGUAUCUGGCUCGGCCUGGGCAUCUUCUUGGAGAACGUAGCUGCACUUGACUGUGUGGUGCGGUAUCCAGGACUUUACUUGAGGAAAUCAGAGUGUUUCAAGCAGGCAUACGCCUUGAAUACAUUAGCAUGGAAUAAUAAGAUAGGACCUCGGUUCUAUUUUGUUGGUUUCUAGAGCUGAGGUAAUGAUUAAUAGGGAUAGUUGGGGGCAUUCGUAUUUCAUUGUCAGAGGUGAAAUUCUUGGAUUUAUGAAAGACGAACUUCUGCGAAAGCAUUUGCCAAGGAUGUUUUCAUUAAUCAAGAACGAAAGUUGGGGGCUCGAAGAUGAUCAGAUAUCA